AACGUACGCUGGCGGCGCGCCUAACACAUGCAAGUCGAACGCAGUAGCAAUACUGAGUGGCAGACGGGUGAGUAACAUGUGGGAAUCUGCCUUGUGGUACAGGACAACAUGGGAAACCGAUGCUAAUACUGGAUAAGCCCUUACGGGGAAAGUUUUAAUGCCAUAAGAUGAGCCCGCAUUUGAUUAGUUAGUUGGUGAGGUAAUGGCUCACCAAGACAAUGAUCAAUAGCUGAUCUGAGAGGAUGAUCAGCCACACUGGGACUGAGACACGGCCCAGACUCCUACGGGAGGCAGCAGUGGGGAAUCUUGCACAAUGGAGGAAACUCUGAUGCAGCGAUGCCGCGUGAGUGAAGAAGGCCUUUGGGUUGUAAAGCUCUUUUGUAGGGGAAGAUAAUGACUGUACCCUAAGAAUAAGGUCCGGCUAACUUCGUGCCAGCCGCCGCCGUAA
rnacentral:rRNA from 1 species